AGUGAACGCUGGCGGUAGGCCUAACACAUGCAAGUCGAACGGCAGCACAGUAAGAGCUUGCUCUUACGGGUGGCGAGUGGCGGACGGGUGAGGAAUACAUCGGAAUCUACUUUUUCGUGGGGGAUAACGUAGGGAAACUUACGCUAAUACCGCAUACGACCUACGGGUGAAAGCAGGGGAUCUUCGGACCUUGCGCGAUUGAAUGAGCCGAUGUCGGAUUAGCUAGUUGGCGGGGUAAAGGCCCACCAAGGCGACGAUCCGUAGCUGGUCUGAGAGGAUGAUCAGCCACACGGGAACUGAGACACGGUCCAGAAUCCUACGGGAGGCAGCAGUGGGGAAUAUUGGACAAUGGGCGGAAGCCUGAUCCAGCCAUACCGCGUGGGUGAAGAAGGCCUUCGGGUUGUAAAGCCCUUUUGUUGGGAAAGAAAAGCAGCAGGUUAAUACCCCGCUGUUCUGACGGUACCCAAAGAAUAAGCACCGGCUAACUUCGUG
rnacentral:rRNA from 1 species